GACGAACGCUGGCGGCGUGCUUAACACAUGCAAAUCGAGCGAGGCCCGCCUUUCGGGGUGGUGUCCUAGCGGCGAACGGGUGAGUAACACGUGGGCAACCUGCCCUCAGCUCUGGGAUAACUCCAAGAAAUUGGGGCUAAUACCGGAUAUGACCGCUGACCGCAUGGUCUGGUGGUGGAAAGAUUUAUCGGCUGGGGAUGGGCCCGCGGCCUAUCAGCUUGUUGGUGGGGGAGUGGCCUACCAAGGCGACGACGGGUAGCCGGCCUGAGAGGGUGACCGGCCACACUGGGACUGAGACACGGCCCAGACUCCUACGGGAGGCAGCAGUGGGGAAUAUUGCGCAAUGGGCGAAAGCCUGACGCAGCGACGCCGCGU
rnacentral:rRNA from 1 species